GGUAAUAUCCGGCUAAUCCUAAAAAGCUUCGAAUCUCCGUGGGACUUUUCGGUUGUUCCCACUUCGUCACAGCUUCGAUCUUCGCUGGAUCAACCAUUAUCCCUUCUUGGUUGACCACGUGACCCAAGAAUUGGACCUCACGAAUCCAAAAAUCACAUUUGGAGAACUUCGCAUAAAGCUUCUCCUUCUUCAAAACUUCUAACACUUCUCGCAAGUGUCUGCCAUGCUCCUCCUGGCUUUUCGAGUAGAUCAGAAUGUCGUCUAUGAACACUAUCACGGAUUUAUCAAGGAAAGGAUUACAAACCCUAUUCAUCAAAUCCAUGAACGCUGCUGGAGCAUUGGUUAGUCCAAACGACAUAACCAAGAACUCGUAGUGUCCAUAUCUAGUUCUGAAUGCAGUCUUCUCGAUAUCUUGCUCUCUUACUUUCAGCUGAUGAUAUCCUGACCUAAGAUCGAUCUUCGAGAAAUAGCUCGAACCUUGCAAUUGAUCAAACAGGUCAUCAAUCCUCGGCAACGGAUAUCUAUUCUUUAUUGUUGCCUUGUUCAGCUCUCUGUAAUCGAUGCACAUUCUCAUACUUCCAUCUUUCUUCUUUACAAAUAACACCGGAGCUCCCCAGGGCGAUGAACUAGGUCUAAUGAAACCUUUGUCCAAUAACUCCUGAAGUUGCAUCAUCAGCUCCUUCAUCUCCGUCGGUGCUAAUCGAUAAGGUGCUUUUGCUAUUGGCGUGGUUCCUGGUAACAAGUCUAUUCUGAACUCCACUUGUCUAUCAGGUGGUAAUCCAGGAAGAUCCUCGGGAAAUACUUCCGGAUAAUCACACACCACUGGAAUGCUCUGCAUCACCUUCUUUUCUUUCUUAGCAUCAAUCACGAAUGCUAAAUAUGAUGUACAUCCCUUGGUCAAACACUUUCUGGCUUUCAUUAGAGAAAUGAUUCCAGAAUUCACUCUGCGUUUGUCCCCAUACACCAUAAACGAAUCUUUCCCAGGCGGGUUUACUUUAACUAUCUUCUUCUUGCACAAAAUUUCGGCAUCAUUGGCGCUAAGCCAAUCCAUUCCCAAGACGAUGUCGAAACCAUUUAGUUCGAUAGGCAAUAAUUCCUCGAGAAACUUAUUCCCAUUAAGGUCGAUCAAGACGUUUUUCAUACGAUGGCUAACAGGUACAAACUUGCCACUAGCUACUUCGACUAAUAAAGCAUUAUCUAGUCUAUCAACAGGCAAAGCUAGCUUUCUACCAAACUCAUGCGAAAUAAAGGAGUAGUUGGCUCCAGAAUCAAACAAUAUAUGAGCAGGUAAUUCGUUUACGAGAAAGGUACCUGAAGCGACAUCAGCUUCAUCUUUCGCAGCCUCAAGUGUCAUCUGGAAGGCUCUCGCCUUCGGCUUUGGUGGAAUGUUGGGCCUAGCUGCCUCCUUCUUCUUCGGACAGUCUUUCAAAAUAUGCCCCUCUUCAUUACACCCAAAACACAUCCUUUUGUUGUUCGGACAUUCAUUGGCAAAAUGUCCAACCUUUCCACACUUGUAGCAGGUCACAUCCUCGCUACAUUUCCCAAAGUGCUUUUUCUUACACUUAUCACACCACUUUGCUUCGCCUCCUUUUCCUCCAAACUUUUUCGAAUCAGAUUUCGAAAAUUUGCUCUUCUUACUGGAACCAGAUGUUCCUUCAAACUUCCUUUUCUCACCAACCUCAACCUUGACGGUGGUUCUCCCCUUGAUCAUGUUCUCCACAGACUUGGCAGCCCAGAUAGCUGCCUCUAGAGUAAGUGCCUGACGUACCGGCACCUCGUACUCCCAUGGAAGUCCCUUCGCAUACCGAUCCACCUUUGUCAGCUCGUCUGGAACGAUACGCAAGGCAAACUCCAUCUUAUCGGUGAAGUUAUUGGUGUACUCAUCCACUGACAUGCUACCCUUCGUCAAUGUCAAAAACUUGUUCUCCAACUCCAACAGAUUUUGAGCCGAGCAGAACUUGCGCUUGAACUGCACCAAGAACUCUGCCCAUGACAAUUGCAGUGGCUCAUUAGGGCUUAAGGUCUUCCCUAGAGUGUUCCACCAACGAACGGCUCCACCUCGGAAUUGUCGCACGGCAUAGAUAGUCUGCAACUUGCCUCUACAGCCACAUGUCAUAAAGGCUAACUCCAUUUCGGAGAUCCAAUCCAUAACCCCAAUCGGAUCCUCCUUUCCAUUGAAGGUCGAUGGUUUACAAGUCAAAAAGUCCUUGUACUUGCAUCCCAUUCCAUCAUUCCUUCCAUCAUGGUUAUCUUGCCUAACUAUCGGUGGGUUGGCUGGACCAACAGACCCACUGAAGUUUCCACCUUCCGAGUGCCCUUCAUUCAGUUCAGGCUCUUCCACACGAAUCGACAGUUCUUCACGAUUUUGUUGAAGCAACCGUCUAGUUUCAUCCAUCUGACGAUCCAACAUCGUCUGAAUCAUCAAUUGCACACCAGCCAUGGUUAUUGGCUCAGGUGCUGCUGCUACGACAGGUAUUGGCUCAAUCACUGGUGGUUGAUUCCUGUUUUCGUCAGCAUUUCCAACUCCACUUCUUGUUCUCACCAUUUUGAUCUACACCGAAUAAGGUGAAAUUAGAUCCUCAAUCAUGAUAGAUAUUCAAAUCAUCCUUAUCACUCCGAAACGUUUACAUGCUAGUUCUAAUAUCGUAGACGUACGCUUAGAAUCCUACACACAUAAGGUUUCUAGAUCCGGUCGGCAACAGACCAUAGAUCCGAACAAAUAAUAUCAUAUAUGGCAACAUAUAACAUUUAGCACAUAAAGCAUUUUAGGCAACUUUCCUAAAAUAAACUAGUGCUCGUGUCUAAAUCACAACAGACACACAUCUCAAAACUUCACUUAGCAUUCUAAGUUUAAGUCUAGAAAUCCUACAAAUUCCUAGUUCGCUUAAACUAAUGCUCUGAUACCAACUGUGACAUCCCCAAAAUCUCGGCCAGAAAAGACCGAUUUUCAUUUAUGCUUUUAAAUAUUUUCAGAGUAAAUCCUUUUGAUUUGAAAGAGUUGCGGAAUUUGUUCCCAAAAACAAAACAUGAUAAAACAUUGUUUACCGAAGCAUUUCAUAAAAGAAAUGUAUUUUCAUUAUAAUCAAAACUCGGGGUGUCAUGUUCCGAUACAGACCAAUAAGCAUAAACGAAUACAUUACAAGUCAUAUAACAAAUAUAAACAUAUGCAGACUUGUAAACAAAACAACUUGAUGGUUCAUCCAUCUCAUGCCCUUCCGCCACUACCUGUAAUACAAUUUAAAACUGAGUGGGUCAGGCUUGGGAGCCUGGUGAGCAUAUAGGGUUUUCAACCCACAAUAAAUAUCAUAUUUAAUUUUCACCAACCAACAAUAACCCAAUUACCCAUUCCCGUUAUUCUCACUUUAAUGUCCCUAAAACAACUAACAUAAGGGACCUAGUCUAAGAAUAUUUCAUCGGGGCGACAACACAUGCUUCGGGGGUACCUCAGCAAUAUAAGUCAAAUAAGGCAACCAUGAGGGGGAUGGAGUACAGCGAAUGAACACCCAAGUUCAUUAACACCUACAGGUGGCGAACCUGCUAAUGUUUCCACAAGACUGUCUAGAAUAGCCAGUGGUCGUCAUCUAAACUCCGCUAGAUGACUCAAUCAAACAACAACGAGGCCUCUCAUCUGUUUAUUACACACCAACUGUCUACCCAUGUUCUACCCAACAUAUUAGUAGAUAAAAAUAUACAUUUGUAUACAUAGUUUAAAGAAAACCUGUAUAGCAUGCUUUAAUCAACACAUAUAUCACAUAACAGAUGAGGCACACACACACAUAACACAUAUCUCAUAAAGAAAUAAGCAGAUCUAUAAGAUAGAAGAGAGUGAAUACUCAUUCACACAUAACACAACCAAAUAUAUACACAUAGCACGUAUUUUUAUAUAAAAUACUUCGUAUUAUUGUAUUAGAAGAAAUAACUACACACUCACUUGAUCAGAAGAUGAUCGGACAGCACUACGGCUUAUAGAAGUAGUAAUCCACAGCAGAUCUGGAAGAUCUUCUCGAAAAUCGAACUUCUCGCGGGCAGAGCUUCGACUCGGGAACCGCACUUUUCGGGAUCUUCAGGAUCUCGGGACUUGCCUCGGGGCUAGAGUAUGAUACCGGGACUUCGGGGUAGCUUCGGGGGUUUUUGCACAGAGCUUCGACACGAAAACGAGAGGGAAUUGGCAAAAAUACCCGGAACCCUCGCAUCCUAUUUAUAGGAGGCUGGAGCCUCGGAGUACGCGGGGCGUACUGCGUUACGCGGGGCGUACUGCCCAAAACGUCAUUGCUUACGUAUCCGAAGUGCUCGAGUGCGAGUGUCGACAUCCCUCGGAGUACGCGGGGCGUACUCGAGUACGCGGGGCGUACCUCGGAUCAGAUCGGUGACUCCUUCGGAUAAUGCUUCCGAAUUUUGAAUUAAAAAUAAAUACAAAAUGAUUAAUAAACUUCGGAAAUUCAUAACUUCUUCAUACGAACUCCGUUUUCGACGUUCUUUAUAUCCACGCGAAGGUGAGACCACGCUCUACGACUUUCGUUUAGACUCCGUCGGCUAAUUUUGACUUUAUUUUUAUUAAUUAUUUUUAAUAGGCCGGGACAGAAACUUUCGUUAUAAAUUCAUAACUUCUUCGUUUGACGUCCGUUCUCGCCUAACUUUUUAUCGUUUCAAUACCAACAAUGAGAUCUUCGAUUCUCAUUUAGAUUGCUUCGGCUAACAACCGCUCGAUCUCAAAUCGAGUAAAACAGGCUGUAUAUCGCUAAGCCGGAACUUCGAUAAAUCAUAACUUCCUCAUACGAAGUCAGAUUUGGGCGUUCUAUAUAUAUUCGGAAACCUCGUUUCAACUACUACAACAUUAACCAAAGAUAUUAAGUUUAUUUUACACUUAAAUUUUGACGCUUAUUUUUAUUCUUAAUUAAUCAAACCACAUAAUUAAGCAAUUAAGCACAAAACACAUAAUACUCAAAUAAUACAAUCUUAUUAUUUCAAAACGGGUUACAAAGGUUAACCUAGACUAUUACAUUGCUAAAAAUGGCAAGCCCGGAAACACAGGCGUUACAAUUCUCUCCACCUUAGAAUGAUUCCGUCCCCGGAAUCACACAUCAACAAACAAAUGCGGAUAGCGACUCAACAUGUCACUCUCCGUCUCCCAGGUGAGAUUCGGCCCAUUCGUGUGUUUCCAUCGGACAAGCACUAACCCAACCAUUUUGCGUCGCAACUUCUUAGUCUUUCGGUCAACAAUUGCCUCUGGUUCUUCAAUCAACCUUUUGUUCUCAUCAAUUCUCAAUUCAGAAAUUGGAAUUAUAUCGGGAACUUCUCCCGUGAACUUCCUCAAAUAACACACAUGAAAGGUGUUGUGAAUUCCAUUCAGUUCUUCGGGUAAUUCGAGCUUGUAAGCUUGAUUCCCAAUCCUCUGAAGGACUUUAAACGGUCCAAUAAACCUUGGACUCAACUUUCCCCUUUUACCAAAUCUUAUAAGUCCCUUCCACGGCGAGACUUUAAGCAAAACCGAAUCUCCAACCUCAAAAGUCAUCGGUCUUCGCUUCUUGUCAGCAUAGCUCUUUUGACGAUCUUGAGCUGCUAACAUUCUUUCCCUAAUUAUUUUCAACUUUUCAGCAGUUUGAUGAACCAUCUCCGGUCCCAUAAACUGCUUUUCCCCAGCCUCAAGCCAACAAGACGGCGUACGACACUUCUGUCCAUACAAAGCUUGAUAAGGUGCCAUCUUAAUGCUCGAGUGAAAACUAUUAUUAUAGGAAAAUUCUACCAACGGUAAAUGUUCAUCCCAAUUACCUAGGAAUUCCAAGGUACAUGCUCUCAGCAUAUCUUCAAGUGUUUGUAUUGUUCUUUCACUCUGACCAUCAGUCUGCGGAUGGUAAGCUGUGCUUAAACAUAACUUGGUACCCAUUUCCUCUUGUAGACUUUUCCAAAACCUUGAGGUGAAACGGCUAUCACGAUCCGAUACAAUCGUUAACGGAACACCGUGAAGCCUCACAAUUUCCUUCACGUAAGAAUUCGCAAGCUUUUCCAUAGACCAUUUCUCCCUGGCCGCUAUGAAAUGCGCACUCUUAGUGAAUCGAUCAACGACCACCCAAAUCAUGUCGUGACCAUUCUUUGUUCUGGGCAGUUUAGUGACAAAAUCCAUAGCAAUGUCUUCCCACUUACCCAUAGGCACAGGCAAUGGUUCUAAACUCCCGUAAGGUUUCUGAUGUUGUGUCUUGACUCUCGCACAAGUCACACACUCGGCCACAUACUUUGCAACAUCAAGCUUCAUCGUCGGCCACCAGUAGUAGGGUUUCAGGUCCCUAUACAUUUUAGUGCUACCCGGAUGAAUUGAGUACAUGGUUUUGUGAGCUUCUUCCAUCAGAAGAUCCCUAAUUCCUCCUGACUUAGGUACCCAAAUACGAUCUUGGAAUACCUUCAGUCCAUGACCGUUAGUACCAAACACCAACGUUUUACCCAAACGUUCCUCCUUUCGGUCAUUUUUCUCAGAAGCUUCCUCUUGAGCUUUCUUUAUACUUUCCACAAUGGUCGAGACAACUUCAAUUCUCAACGCUCUUGGCCUCUUCCUUUCAAGAUUGACCUUCCGACUGAGAGCAUCAGCAACAACAUUAGCUUUACCGGGGUGGUAAAGUAUCUCGCAGUCGUAGUCUUUAAGUAAUUCUAGCCAGCGUCGUUGCCUCAUAUUCAAUUCUUUCUGAUUAAAGAGGUAUUGGAGACUCUUAUGAUCAGUGAAAAGUUUGCACUUCGUGCCAUAGAGGUAAUGCCUCCAUAUUUUCAGAGCGAAAACUACCGCUGCCAACUCCAAAUCAUGAGUCGGGUAAUUCUUUUCAUGCUCUUUCAGCUGUCGAGACGCAUAUGCUAUCACCUUUUCUCUUUGGGUCAAAACACAACCCAAUCCAACACCAGACGCAUCGCUAUAAACAGCGAAGUCUUCAACUCCAUCGGGUAGAGAAAGUAUCGGUGCCUCGCAUAGCUUCUUCUUUAACUUCUCGAAUGCUUCUUUAUGCUUCUCACUCCAAGCAUAAGUAGCUCCUUUGUGGGUCAAAGCUGUUAAUGGAGUAGCAAUCGAAGAAAAGCCUUGGAUAAACCUUCGGUAAUAUCCGGCUAAUCCUAAAAAGCUUCGAAUCUCCGUGGGACUUUUCGGUUGUUCCCACUUCGUCACAGCUUCGAUCUUCGCUGGAUCAACCAUUAUCCCUUCUUGGUUGACCACGUGACCCAAGAAUUGGACCUCACGAAUCCAAAAAUCACAUUUGGAGAACUUCGCAUAAAGCUUCUCCUUCUUCAAAACUUCUAACACUUCUCGCAAGUGCCUGCCAUGCUCCUCCUGGCUUUUCGAGUAAAUCAGAAUGUCGUCUAUAAACACUAUCACGGAUUUAUCAAGGAAAGGAUUACAAACCCUAUUCAUCAAAUCCAUGAACGCUGCUGGAGCAUUAGUUAGUCCAAACGACAUAACCAAGAACUCGUAGUGUCCAUAUCUAGUUCUGAACGCAGUCUUCUCGAUAUCUUGCUCUCUUACUUUUAGCUGAUGAUAUCCUGACCUAAGAUCGAUCUUCGAGAAAUAGCUCGAACCUUGCAAUUGAUCAAACAGGUCAUCAAUCCUCGGCAACGGAUAUCUAUUCUUUAUUGUUGCCUUGUUCAGCUCUCUGUAAUCGAUGCACAUUCUCAUACUUCCAUCUUUCUUCUUUACAAAUAACACCGGAGCUCCCCAGGGCGAUGAACUGGGUCUAAUGAAACCUUUGUCCAACAACUCCUGAAGUUGCAUCAUCAGCUCCUUCAUCUCCGUCGGUGCUAAUCGAUAAGGUGCUUUUGCUAUUGGCGUGGUUCCUGGUAACAAGUCUAUUCUGAACUCCACUUGUCUAUCAGGUGGUAAUCCAGGAAGAUCCUCGGGGAACACUUCCGGAAAAUCACACACCACUGGAAUGCUCUGCAUCACCUUCUUUUCCUUCUU
rnacentral:lncRNA from 1 species